UACGUAGGGGGCGAGCGUUGUCCGGAUUUAUUGGGCGUAAAGAGCUCGUAGGCGGUUCGAUAAGUCGGAUGUGAAAUCUCCACGCUCAACGUGGAGGGGCCAUUCGAUACUGUCGUGACUCGAGUCCGGUAGGGGAGUGUGGAAUUCCCGGUGUAGCGGUGAAAUGCGCAGAGAUCGGGAGGAACACCGGUGGCGAAGGCGGGUCUCUGGGCCGAUAUCGACGCUGAGGAGCGAAAGCGUGGGGAGCGAACAGG
rnacentral:rRNA from 1 species